UCGGGCACCACAUCGUAUAAACAUUCAAAUGUUAAAUAUCUGAAAUUUGUAGCAGCUUCAAGUGCAUGUUUUCAGCACACAACAGCACUGCGCAUGCGCAGUCGACCCAUCGCUGUCACCGAGUUGCUGCUCGAGCUUCACGACCUACAGCAUUGGCCCUGAAAAAAACAACAACACUCAUUCCGUCCAGAUCAAGACAGCGCCUGACUUGUGCACUCUACAGCCUUUUGCAGAAACUUUAAAAUGCUGAAGGAUCAGGCAGUGCACUGAGCCUCCCAUGGCUGCCAGCACCAUGGACUCUGAGUCAGCCCGGACACCCCGACCCCAGGCUGCCCUUACAAAAGGAGGUCCUUCCCUGCUGCGUGCUGGGCUUUUGAGUACCAAGUUGGGUCCAGAAGGGAAGCACUAUGUCUGUGGUUCCAUUGCUGCUUUCACUAAUAUUAUGAUCACCUUCCCCAUUCAGAAGUUGCUUUUCCGUCAGCAGCUGCACGGGGUGUUGGUUACCGAGGCCGUGCAGCAGCUCCAGCGGGACGGGCUUAGGAAUCUUUACCGAGGCCUGCUCCCCCCUCUGCUUCAGAAGAGCACCACAGUGGCCAUCAUGUUUGGCCUUUAUGAGGACUUCUCUCGAGUCUUACUGGACCAUUCCGGCGGCAGCGGGGUGCCAGUGCUCGUCACCAGGAGCUUCGCCGCGGCGCUGGCCGGGACCGCCGAGGCCGUCCUCACGCCGUUCGAGCGCGUGCAGACUCUCCUCCAGGACCACCGGCACCACGGGCGCUUCAACAACACGGCCCACACUUUCCGGACGCUUCUGACCGAGUACGGCGUCCGAGAGUGCUACCGCGGCCUCGUCCCCAUCCUGCUGCGGAACGGCCCCAGCAACRUACUCUUCUUCGGGCUGCGGGGGCCGAUUAAAGAGCUGCUGCCAGAGGCCACUAGCAAGGCGGGUCACUUGGUCAACGAUUUUGUGUGUGGUGGGGUGUUGGGGGCAGCUCUCGGCAUUAUGUUUUACCCAUUAAAUGUGGUAAAAUCCCGAGCUCAGUCUCAGGUCGGUGGAGCUUUCCAGCCGUGCAGGACAGUGCUGCUAACAGUGUGGAGGGAGAGGGGUGGCAGCGUGGCCAGGCUUUUUAGAGGGGCCCACCUCAACUACCAUAGAUCCCUUAUCUCCUGGGGGAUCAUCAACGCCACYUACGAGUUCCUGCUUAAGCUCUUGUAAAAGGAGGAAUGGAUACGUUGUGAUAAAGAGAAAGCACGUUGAUAGUAACUGUUCAGAAAGAGGAAUCCAUAUCGUUCGGCUUCGCUAGUGGGACAGAAAUCUCAUAAGUGAUGGAAGAGAAAGUAUAAUUCUGACAGGGGCCUGCAGUUUGUAAAAUAAUCACCUGCCAUUGUUACCUUUCAAUGUUAGUGUAAAAAACAAACAAACAAGGCACACAACUCAGCCUUCACAAAUCUUGUGCCGGGGUCCAAAUGAUAAACCCUUGUCUGCUAACAUGUACCAAAAGUUUUGGUCAUUGACGGUCUCUGCUCCUGCUGUGGUGUUCCCUCCCCUCACGCUUGCUCUCCUUUCUGUCCGUAACAUCUGUUGACAUAAUGGGCUCAGAUUUCAAGCUCGAGUAGAUGCAGUCGCCACGCCACAGCUCAGAGCGCCGACGACGAGCCCAAAGAGGAAAGGCACGCUGCUCGGAUAUUUGAGACUGAACAGUGGUAGCGAGCGGAGACAAGGACAGAGGGUGAUGUUCAGUGGCACAAAAAGCUCAAGCUGCCGUGUAAAUGAAUCACUUGGCCUAUUUCUUGAAUUCUUUUUUUACUGCCACAAUUAUUUUAAAUUACAUAGUAUUUUCUUUUGACAUUUCUACAAAAGCAAGGUUUUGUGCAAUGUUUUUACAAACGAAAUCUUGCUGGUGUUCAGUUUCACUGUUUAUUGUUUUCUGAAGAAUAAGUUGCACAUUGCUUUUAAAAUGUCAAAUUAAUUGCAGCCACAUCAAAUAAAAAUACAAAGAAAUGUUACAUUGGUGUCAGUGAGGACAAACUUUAUUGUUUUCUAAUUUAAGGGGAUGUAUCAUGCAAAAUCCACGUUUU